CUGCUGUGAUGAAACUCGGAACUUGUUGAAAGUUUUGAUACUUGGUGAAACCCUCAACAACAAUGUUGAUCCUGAGCGGUUACCUGAGCAG
rfam:Capsicum annuum cultivar Zunla-1 chromosome 12, whole genome shotgun sequence